rnacentral:rRNA from 1 species
CGGGUGGUAAUGCCGGAUGCUCCAGUUGGAUGCAUGUCCUUCUGGGAAAGAUUCAUCGGUAUGGGAUGGGGUCGCGUCCUAUCAGCUUGAUGGCGGGGUAACGGCCCACCAUGGCUUCGACGGGUAGCCGGCCUGAGAGGGCGACCGGCCACAUUGGGACUGAGAUACGGCCCAGACUCCUACGGGAGGCAGCAGUGGGGAAUAUUGCACAAUGGGCGCAAGCCUGAUGCAGCGACGCCGCGUGCGGGAUGACGGCCUUCGGGUUGUAAACCGCUUUUGACUGGGAGCAAGCCCUUCGGGGUGAGUGUACCUUUCGAAUAAGCACCGGCUAACUACGUGCCAGCAGCCGCGGUAAUACGUAGGGUGCAAGCGUUAUCCGGAAUUAUUGGGCGUAAAGGGCUCGUAGGCGGUUCGUCGCGUCCGGUGUGAAAGUCCAUCGCUUAACGGUGGAUCCGCGCCGGGUACGGGCGGGCUUGAGUGCGGUAGGGGAGACUGGAAUUCCCGGUGUAACGGUGGAAUGUGUAGAUAUCGG